GGGGCCGUGCAACUCCUGCCCCGGUUCACUGCUGUUCAGCGCAGGAGGCUGUUAAGGCAGAACUAGUCCUCGGGCCUGAGCUGCUGGCAGGAUGUCUGCACGGUCCCCUGAUCCGGACCGAGUGCCAUCAGCCCCCUGCGGGUGAACGCAUAGGAAGUCACCAGCACGCCCAAUGGUAGCGAACGAUUAAAAUAUCUUGUCUGCCCUCCAGUGCCCAUAGCUCUGCUCCCCACAAAGGCCACGGGAGCGGCGGAGGGCAGACUUUGGCAGAGGUGAAAGUAAGACGGUACCGAGGACAGACUGCUACCAGCUUGCAUAAACUGCUUCCUUAUGUUCUCAGGAUGUUGCUUCCUUGAACAACUUGAGUAAAGAUGGUGGUAUUGAAGAGACAUCAAGACAUCCCAACGGUACUGAUGGAACGUUAUCCUCAUAAAUACUGCAUUCCUUUCUUGGCCACCCCAGCUCAAAAAGUGCACAGUAGAAUUGGAAAAAGCCCAAAAAAGGACAACAAAGGUGAUAGAAGCUUCCAGAUAAGGGGAGAUUUUAAAAGAUAAGGACUAUUUACUUUAGAGAGAAGAUAAAUAAGUAAUGCCAUAAUAGAGGUAGAACUGACCACAGUUCUUCCCAGUAUGCUUCCACAGUGUGGCCAACUGUCAUGACCUGUCCUUUCCUGGACACACACCUUAUUCAACCCUGGUGUUUCUGAGUCACUAGAACAGCCUUUUGACCCCUCCAAUCUCCUGCUCAGGACCACCUGCCUGUAAAUAUCAAGCGAGCCUGGCUACUUUUCCAAACUCUGUUUCAAAACUUCUGCAGAUCUCUUCAAAACCCACCAACUGACGACGCCUCUAAACUCCUGGAUUUGAGAAAACACUACACUUUUAUUUAACCCAAAGCUUGAUUUCAGCUAGCAAAAUAACUGAGUGUUUGAAUGCAACCGUGACAGCCUGGGCAUAUAAAGAACUAGAAAACUCAUCACAAAAUCACACACUAAGUACGUGGGACGUCAAUUUGCCUGGAGCCAGGAGAAGGAUGACUGUGCAUUCAGAAGAUUUCUUUUCAUCUAUGAUCAGAAUAAAUUAAUACUAAUAAAAACAGAACACAGAUCCCCUUUUGACAUCAUUUUAUACUGUUUAAAAGACAAACAUUUGCAUACUGCAAGCCACAAAUGGAUAAAAGCUCCGGUGAGAAUUUAUAAUCCAUCUGUUAGUUUCCUAAAGAGACCACUAACUAUGAUUGUUUACAGGUGAACAGUGGGGGUCAUGGGUAUUUGCUAUAAUGAAAGAGUCAAUUCAUCACUGUAGAAGCCAACUCCACCUCCCUUUUUUUUGUUGUUUCAGAAGGCUAAUGUAAAAUACAAUAAAAAAGGAAAUUUCAAAAAAACUUCAGAUACACAGAGAAAUAUCUCUUGCCAAACUAAAUAUAACAUGCAACACUGUUCUGUUUUCUAACAGUCUCUGCUGUCAAAUUCUGAUUACACAAAUAAAAUCACAGAAAGUUACUCUUUAGAAUUUAACUAAUAGCUAAUGACCAAGAAUUACUUUGCCCCUAGCCAUUUAAUCUUUGGAAACCUCUUUGUGUUAUUUGUAUGUCUGAAUUUAAUUAUGAGGUGUUAACUGCCACUGUAACUGUUGCUCUAUUUCUAUUCGAUAUAGGUUCCUAUACCAUACUCAGACACCAAUCUGAGUAUCUUCCAGUAGUGUAUUAAGCACUAUUAACUACAUUUCUGUCACAUGUUGCUUGU